UACGGGGGGGCAAGCGUUGUUCGGAAUUACUGGGCGUAAAGGGCUCGUAGGUGGCCAACUAAGUCAGACGUGAAAUCCCUCAGCUUAACUGGGGAACUGCGUCUGAUACUGGAUGGCUUGAGUUUGGGAGAGGGACGCGGAAUUCCAGGUGUAGCGGUGAAAUGCGUAGAUAUCUGGAGGAACACCGGAUGGCGAAGGCGGCGUCCUGGACCAACACUGACACUGAGGAGCGAAAGCCAGGGAGCAAACGGG
rnacentral:rRNA from 1 species